UACAAAUAAUGUUUUAAUAAUCUCUUCCACGACCACUAUUAGUCCAUAAAACAAACGAAACUAGGAUUUGGAUGAAUAUAUUGACUGUUGGUGUUUCUGGUAAGGAUUUGAGA